GCAGAGGAGGGACAACAUUGAUUUGAGCCAGAGAAAAAUCACUGGGGUGAAGAGGGCAUAAGCUGCAGUAGGGAGGAAAGAAUGGAAGUGGGAGGAGCACGACAAGGAGAUGAGUUUUAGGUGACAUAGGAGAAGGAGGCAGCCCUGUCACGGAGGUCCCAAAGCUCCUGCCUCCGCCUGAAGUAGCCUUAACUAUUCUCUGAACCCAGCCCCCGCAGAAGACCUCCCACCUGCUUCUGGUGUGUCACAUCUGAGGUCACGGCUCUUAAAGGUCAGAGUCCUCUUUAGCCCCCUUCUCUCUGGAAGAAAGCUUGACCAGGUGAUCCUUUGGAAGCAACUAAGCCUGUGGUUCUCAAAGUAUGGUCUCCAGACCAUCAACAUCACCGGAACUUGCAAGGAAGGCAAAGGAAUCAAUUGUGCUGGGCUACCACUAGGGGGCAGCACAGAACCACUGGAAAGGCCGAGUGCCCUGAGGAGCCCUGCCAUCCAGACAGAAGGGGAGACCAGUGAAGAGGUCGAGGUCAAGUUACUCUCUCUGGCAGUGAGCACAGGCUGGUGGGUCUCACUCAGUCGUGAUUCUCAAAGUGAGCUCCGCCCGGACCAGUAGCUCAAGCAUCGCCUGGGAACCUGUUGAAAUGCAGAUAAUGGGGCACCACCCAAACCCACUGAGUCAGAAGCACUAGGGUGGGGCCCACGCACCUGUGGUUUUCACAAGGUCUCCAGGUGAUUCUGGAAGUUGGAGGAGCUCUGAACUGGAGUGAAGGAACUGAGAGCAUUGGAGAUGACCCACACACAACCUGCAGGGUUGUCACAAGGACCUUUUUGGGGCCUGCUCUACCUUUCCACAUGGCUCCAUGGCAGUUUUCAAUGAUGUGGGAGAAAUGAACGGUGAAUUGGCCAUUCCCCUCUGUGUGAGGCCUUUUCCUUCCCCAACAAAAUAGAGACG